GGUCCAGAGUUAAAUGAGACUAUCUUUUCAGUCUGGAAAUUCCUUCUUUUCUCCUAAAAAAAAAAAGUGGAGUAUUGGGUAGCUUGGAGAAGAAAGUGGCCAGUAUCCUUUUCUUUUUUGUCUGCUAUUUGAAAAAAAAAAAAGAUUUUUUUUCAGCCUUGUUCAUUAAUACUGCUGAUGUUAGUGAUCACAUCAUUUAAAACAGCAAAAUGUAUCUCACCUGCCUCCAUGCUGCCUUUUAAAUAUAAUUCUCUGGUGUUCUUUUAUUUGCUUAUUGGACUGUAAAAGUCUCUGUUUAUGUAUGUAUACUCUCAACUGUUUUUAUUUUAGUUUUCUGUCAUUGCUGCUGCUGUUUUCUACAGUUUCUCUAAUCAGUUACAGCUUUUUUGAGCCAAUGAGUGUGGAGAAUACCUUUCAAAAGAGAUAUCAGCUCUUUCAGCCAAAAAGCCUCAUCAAACUCAAGAUCCUGGAGACAUGACAAGCUGUCUGGCUAGGCUGAGGAUAUUGGACCUCAGGACAGGUGACCACGGAGUGAAGGAGGAUGUGAAAUCUUUGCCAUCAUCCUGCAGAGGAUGGAUGAGGGGGCUCCGAGCAGACAUAAAGUGCUUUGGAUCGGUGGGUUUCACUUGGAUUGAAACUUGGUGUGGCUCUGAUGCUUUUGUUCUUAGUAGAGGAAGAGUUACCAUAGUAAGUACUAAUUUACUAUGCAAUGAUGAUGUUGCAGUACUAUGUAAUACAGAUGCUACUGGAGGAAAAGCAGAAAAAAUGAUAUUUUGUCUCCAGAAAAACAGUUCUGAAAAUGAUCUUUGCUAUAUGUUUGAGGCAACUCUGACAAUAAUCCUGACUACGCUGGGAGUAAUUCAGUGGUACUUAUCUGAAGCUAGUGAGUUAAUGCAUCUGAAGACAUAGGGAAGUUUUAUUUCAAAGUCGAUGUUGGUUUACAGUAAGAAUAUGUUUUCUGUUUUUAGUAAAAAGUUAUAUAUUUUAAAAUGCUUACAAAGCAUUUGCAGGGGCAAAAGCCUUGCUGUGCCAGGCAGUGCUUAUGCUCAAAUGAUGAAAGUAGUCUAAUAGUCUCAGAGGUUGAAACAGACAGUGCAAAACAUGGAAAAUGUUCUACAGAGAGGGAACUGAAAUCAAGAUUCUUGAAAAUGCUUCCUACUUUGUGCACUUAAAUGCCACUGAAAUGUGUACAAGCUGAGCACCAGAGUGCCUUGAGAAUCUGGUUUGGGAUACAGGACAACUAAGUGGUAUUUUUUGUUGCUUUUUGUGUGAAUGAAAAAAGGAAUGUACCGCUUACUACCUUCUCUUGACACCUUCCCAAUGUCUGGUCUGUGGGUAUUUAGGAAAUCUGAAGAUGAGCAGAGGCUGUCUGAACAACAGUCUUUAUCUGCUGGCACUGUCUGUCCUCUCUUUCAGAAAAUAUUUCAUGUGUAUGUUCUUUAUGUAAUUGCAGUUGCAUUAAUAGGAUGGCUUUGUUUUAAUAUGUACCUAUAAAGCAAUCAUGCACCUACUUAGGUAUGUUUUGACCCAGCUGGGUGAUGGUGACACUGAGGAAGUAUGAGUACAGCAAGCAGAGGUCAUUUUUGAUUCUGAACAAUUAGUUGGCUCCAAUGCUACAAUGGAGCUCACGGGGGUACUUCUGAGAGGUUUUCCAGUGCCCUGUUUACAAGGAUAUGCCAUCACUCUGAACCUAAAUUAACUGUCAUAAUUAAGCAAAGUGGGGACUUGAAUGAUUCCUGAACCAGAAAACAUUUUUUGUAUAGGAAUGAGUUUUAUUCAUGCUGGAUAAAUCUCUGGGAAUCAAACUCAUUGAUGGUGAAAAGUAGUCAAGAUGUUACCAAUGCACUUUAAUCAGACCAAGCAGUUAUUAGCAACAGAACAGGAGGGAAAAAGUUAUACUCUGUAUCUUCCUUUAAGAAAGAGUCCAAUAUAAAAAUAUUUCCAUUUGCUUCAGCUGUUUCUUUUCCUAUCCCACUGUCUUUGUCUUUCAGCUGCCAAGAGCAGAAUGAUGUGAUUCAUAGACUUUUUAACUGAAAUUGUACACAGCCAAAUCCAGGGGCUGCUACUCCCUUGGAAGUUGGUGGCAAAAUUCCCAUUGACUUCAGCAGAAGCAGGCUUGGUUUAUCAAUGGGUAGGGAAAAAUACAACAUCAGCGUGGGUGAUCUGCAGAAGGGUCACUUACAUUUGUGGGACCAUGCUUUGUGUUCAUAUCCUGUGGUGUCUUACCUUACUGGCUUACCUUACAUAGCUGCUGAUCUUGAGGCUUCAUAUGCCUCUUUUGAGAGUGCUCCUCUGGCCCAACUGAUCUUAUAGUUAAUUUUCAAUGUUUAGCCUAAUUUUUUUGUUUCAUUGUGUUGGGUUGUUCCAGCAUGUUCUGUACCUUCUCAAAUUAGGAGUAUUUCUCUUUAUUUCCCCAAUUCUGUGUGGAGUAAGAUAUCUUCAAAUAUUUUAUUUGAAGGUUUCUGUUGUUUGCUUUAAAGAUAACACACAGUGUAGUGCUUCUGAUCAGCUUCAUUUAAAUCCUCUAUGAUCUAUGUACCCUUCUGUGAAUACAUAGCAGGUUUUCCUACCCUAAAUGCACUGCUAUGUAGAGCACUGGAUAUACAACUAGGGCUACAGUGCCAGAUCCUGGGUGGUGCUGAGUUGCUUGGUUUGGUCCAGCAAAGCACUUAAGCACUGCCUCAGAAAUAAAAUGAGUAAUGCCAGAAGCA
rnacentral:lncRNA from 1 species